rnacentral:rRNA from 1 species
UACAUGGGGUGCAAACGUUGCUCGGAAUUAUUGGGCGUAAAGCGCACGUAGGCGGUUUGUUAAGUCGGAUGUGAAAUCCCUCGGCUCAACUGAGGAAGUGCAUCCGAAACUGGCAAGCUUGAGUACGAAAGAGGGUCGCGGAAUUCCCGGUGUAGAGGUGAAAUUCGUAGAUAUCCGGAGGAACACCGAUGGCGAAGGCAGCCCUCUGGCCUCUUACUGACGCUGAGGCGCGAAAGCGUGGGGAGCGAACGGG